UCUCAGGGAAACCUCACACCAGUGUUUAUACAACAAGUGGUCACAGCUCACUAGAUUCCGCUAUCACCAAUAACCCGAGUAACUUGCAUAUGGUGGUGGUGGUGGUAGUCAGCGGUUAGUUGGUGGUGGAGAGGGAGCAGCAGUGGAGGUGGCGAGGGCAGGAGAGGAGGUGGUCGUUGGUCAGGCCGGCGGCCUGCAUGAAGGAGUGGACGACGGUGGGACCGACGAACCGGAAGCCGCGCCGGACCAUGUCCUUGCUGAUGGACUCCGACUUGGAGGUCUUCACGGGGAUCUUCCUGCAUGAAGUGUAGUUGGUGG
rnacentral:lncRNA from 1 species